rnacentral:lncRNA from 1 species
CCCGUGUAGAUGACGCCGUCGCCGCCAAGCACCCGGUGAGAAGGUUGGCCUAGCUGACCUGAGGCAGAGUAGAGGCAGGGGGAGCACGGUCAGGGAGUGGAGGCACCCUCCUGCCUUAGAGAUAGGGCACGCUAAAUGGGUUUAGGAGAGGGUGGAAUAUAUCCAGCCCCCAUUCUCCCUCGCCGAGGCCAGGUGAUGCCUAAAGGAAAAGCUGGAGGAAAGAGAACUGAGCCAUAAACACGUCCCCCACCCUCCAAUUCCAGGGACUCGAGGAAUAUGCUGCCUGCCAGUCGAACGCCUUCAUGAAAGGCGUUUUCACUUUUGUCACAGGCACUGGUGUGACUUUUGGCCUGCAGAUGUUCAUUAAGAGGAAGUUUCCAUACCCUGUGCAGUGGGGCUUCCUGGUGUCUGCCGUUGUAGGAUCUGUGGCCAGCUACAGAGUGACAAGAAUGGAGUGUCAGAAAUGCAGCAAUCUGUGGCUCUUCCUGGAGACCGGGCAGCUCCCCAAAGGCAUGAGCACAGAUCACAACAACUAGAAGAGCUCUGGCUGCUGGAGUGUGUAGGAUGUGAGGUGGGGAAGAGCCUAGAGCACAGACUUGGACAGCAUCUAACUCCAGGCUGGUCCUUCCUAGCUCACCAAAUACACAAACAAGCAUGUGUCAUCUCUCUCCUACACGCACAUGGGGGAGCUGCCUGAGAAACCUGUGAAGAUCACUGCUGCUGUGAAGAUCCAUCCAGGAUUUGCCAGGGAGGCCAGCUCAGAAAAGGACUUGGGAGAGGGGGAUCUCUUCCAGAGCAGCAAGGAGCCAGGGUAUCGUUUUGGAUCCUGUCACACACAACUGUUGGGGCAACAGCCUGCGUGUGGCGCUUUCUGUGGUGCUUUGGGGCCCUUAUCUGACAUGUAGGCCCCAAAAUCCAAGGAGAAUGUUGGAGAGUUGUAGCUAAUAAAUGGCUUGUCCUUUUUCCUAUGUGAGAUCUAAAGCAAUUAAACACGAGCUGCUGAGGU